rnacentral:rRNA from 1 species
AUUGAACGCUGGCGGCAGGCCUAACACAUGCAAGUCGAGCGGUAGAGAGAAGCUUGCUUCUCUUGAGAGCGGCGGACGGGUGAGUAAUGCCUAGGAAUCUGCCUGGUAGUGGGGGAUAACGUUCGGAAACGGACGCUAAUACCGCAUACGUCCUACGGGAGAAAGCAGGGGACCUUCGGGCCUUGCGCUAUCAGAUGAGCCUAGGUCGGAUUAGCUAGUUGGUGGGGUAAUGGCUCACCAAGGCGACGAUCCGUAACUGGUCUGAGAGGAUGAUCAGUCACACUGGAACUGAGACACGGUCCAGACUCCUACGGGAAGCAGCAGUGGGGAAUAUUGGACAAUGGGCGAAAGCCUGAUCCAGCCAUGCCGCGUGUGUGAAGAAGGUCUUCGGAUUGUAAAGCACUUUAAGUUGGGAGGAAGGGUUGUAGAUUAAUACUCUGCAAUUUUGACGUUACCGACAGAAUAAGCACCGGCUAACUCUGUG